UAGGGAAUCUUCGGCAAUGGACGAAAGCCUGAUCUAGCCAUGCCGCGUGAGCGAUGAAGGCCUUAGGGUUGUAAAGCUCUUUCAGUGGGGAAGAUAAUGACUGUACCCACAGAAGAAGCCCCGGCUAACUCCGUGCCAGCAGCCGCGGUAAUACGGAGGGGGCUAGCGUUGUUCGGAAUUACUGGGCGUAAAGGGCACGUAGGCGGACUGGAAAGUCAGGGGUGAAAUCCCGGGGCUCAACCCCGGAACUGCCUUUGAAACCCCCGGUCUUGAGGUCGAGAGAGGUGAGUGGAAUUCCGAGUGUAGAGGUGAAAUUCGUAGAUAUUCGGAGGAACACCAGUGGCGAAGGCGGCUCACUGGCUCGAUACUGACGCUGAGGUGCGAAAGCGUGGGGAGCAAACA
rnacentral:rRNA from 1 species